rnacentral:ncRNA from 2 species
AAUAGAGGAGCGGACGAGCAAGAGUACUUUUGCCGCGCGGGGAGCGGUUUUCCCCGGCAAAAGGAAAGGGCAUCUCCGCCGAGGCACGGCCGAAAACCGCAAAGCCGCCGCCGGGCGCACGGGAGAAUACCCGCGCGACUGUCACCGCUGGCGUGGAGAACUA